CUUGAUCGACCCGAGUCGCAGCGGCUCGUCCCGGUCCUGACCGUAGGUCGCCAGCAGUGCCUGGGCCUC
rnacentral:antisense_RNA from 1 species